AUUGAACGCUGGCGGCAGGCCUAACACAUGCAAGUCGAACGAGUGGCGGACGGGUGAGUAAUGUCUGUGAAACUGCCUGAUGGAGGGGGUCAACUACUGGCAACGGUAGCUACUACCGCAUACCAUAAGAUGGGCCCAGAUGGGAUUAGCUAGUUGGUGGGGUAACGGCUUACAAAGGCGACGAUCCCUAACUGGUCUGAGAGGAUGACCAGCCACACUGGAAAUGAGACACGGUCCAGACUCCUACGGGAGGCAGCAGUGGGGAAUAUUGGACAAUGGGCGAAAGCCUGAUGCAGCCAUGCCGCGUGUAUGAAGAAGGUCUUCGGGUUGUAAAGCACUUUAAGUGGGGAGGCGUUACCCGCAGAAGAAGCACCGGCUAACUCCGUGCCAGCAGCCGCGGUAAUUC
rnacentral:rRNA from 1 species